UACGUAGGGACCGAGCGUUGUCCGGAUUCAUUGGGCGUAAAGAGCUCGUAGGCGGCUGUUCAAGUCGAACGUGAAAACUCGGAGCUCAACUCCGAGCCUGCGUUCGAUACUGGACGGCUAGAGUCUGGUAGGGGGAUCUGGAAUUCUGGUGUAGCGGUGAAAUGCGCAGAUAUCAGGAGGAACACCGGUGGCGAAGGCGACUAUCUGGGCUGAAACUGACGCUGAGGCGCGAAGGCUAGGGGAGCAAACAGG
rnacentral:rRNA from 1 species